rnacentral:tRNA from 1 species
GGCCCGUUAGCUCAGUUGGUUAGAGCGUCGUGCUAAUAACGCGAGGGUCGUGGGUUCGAUCUCCCCACGGGCCA